rnacentral:rRNA from 1 species
AGCGAACGCUGGCGGCAGGCUUAACACAUGCAAGUCGAGCGGGCGUAGCAAUACGUCAGCGGCAGACGGGUGAGUAACGCGUGGGAACGUACCUUUUGGUUCGGAACAACACAGGGAAACUUGUGCUAAUACUGGAUAAGCCCUUACGGGGAAAGAUUUAUCGCCGAAAGAUCGGCCCGCGUCUGAUUAGCUAGUUGGUGAGGUAACGGCUCACCAAGGCGACGAUCAGUAGCUGGUCUGAGAGGAUGAUCAGCCACAUUGGGACUGAGACACGGCCCAAACUCCUACGGGAGGCAGCAGUGGGGAAUAUUGGACAAUGGGGGCAACCCUGAUCCAGCCAUGCCGCGUGAGUGAUGAAGGCCCUAGGGUUGUAAAGCUCUUUUGUGCGGGAAGAUAAUGACGGUACCGCAAGAAUAAGCCCCGGCUAACUUCGUG